ensembl:lncRNA
GCCGCUUUCCACCCAGUACCUAAGUCCACACUGGGUUUCCGGUGGUACUUUUCUACCUGGUACCCACCUUCCUUAGUCCGAUUGCCCACUCUCUUUUUGGGCUAUCGGACUCUGAGUUACCCACUCUCUCUUGGGUCUUUGGGUUACCAGGUACCGAUGGUACUUUUCUACCUGGUACCCACCUUCCUUAGUCCGAUUGCCCUCUCUCUUUUUGGGCUAUCGGACUCUGAGUUACCCACUCUCUCUUGGGUCUUUGGGUUACCAGGUACCGAUGGUACUUUUCUACCUGGUACCCACCUUCCUUAGUCCGAUUGCCCACUCUCUUUUUGGGCUAUCGGACUCUGAGUUACCCACUCUCUCUUGGGUCUUUGGGUUACCAGGUACCGAUGGUACUUUUCUACCUGGUACCCACCUUCCUUAGUCCGAUUGCCCACUCUCUUUUUGGGCUAUCGGACUCUGAGUUAC